CAAACAAGUAAAAUCUGGAAAUUAUGCUGAAAAUAAAAUGGGUUAAAAAGGCAAUCAACGGAUGGAGAAGUUGCGAUCAUGAUACUCAUGGCUAUUCUUUCUUAAAUGCUAGCUGAGGGAAUACCAACAACAAUGAAUUGGCUUCUAUUGAGGGAAAAGAUUAUAGUGAAACAACUGUUAAAUGUUUUGAAAACAGCAUGGCGUUUUCAUCACUUCCAUUGGCUAUUAAGUGGUGGAGAAAUGCUGCUAAACAGAACCGUAUAAUACUCUAAUUCAUAGCCGAGAGCACCGGUCUAUGGUUGUACAACUGAUAAAACCGAAGAAAUACUGCUCGAUAGGAAUGAAAUUGCACAAGAACAUGGUUUCAUUUCGCUACAGUUCAAGCCCCACCAGACUGCUGUUGGAGCUGCAUGUCUUGCUGCAAGGGAGCAAAAGUUGUAGGUGGUAAGAGGAAUAACCUAGGGUUUAAUUUUUAUGAGCCUACAGUUAUAAGUGAUGUCAAGAAUGAGAUGCUCAUAUAAAGGGUUGGACUCUUACAGUAGCCGGGAUUACUAUAGCUCUUUGCGCUGCACCAUUCACUGCCUUCUUGAAUUCAAUCGCAAUUGUUGUUUGGCCUACUUAUGUAGCAGUCGCUAUCUCAGAGACUGUUUGGAAGGUUUGUUUAUCUAUUUCCUUGAAGCUAUUGAUUCAUUUCCUUAACUUCGUUUUGUAGGUGGUAACAUAUUCUAUUCAAACUGAUUUUAACCCAUUUGGGUAAAUUCGUUGAUAAGGUGGUAACAUAUUAUAUUCAAACUGAUAGUGUGGAAUCUCAAAAUGUUUCGACUUCUGGACCAGAUAUGAAUAGGUUAUCAAGCACAUCUUCACUUCCUUCAGGUGAUGAUGAUCUGCGAAACGGUAUACAGUCAAUGAAAGUUCAACGAGCUCAUACUCCGCCCAUUGAUGCAGUUGCUCCUUAUGACAAAGUCAAGAUUUUGUGCAUCAGGAGGUGUGAUGCAGUUGAGGAAGGUCCCAGAACGAGCAACGCCUCUCUUCCCAAAGGAAGAGGAAAGACACACUUUUCUUGAACAGAUCCGGGCCAAGUCCUCCAACUUGAAGCCAACUAUCAAAAGCAGGCCCAUUGUUAUUCGGGGCCCCAUGACGAACUUGAGGGUAGCUGCCAUUUUAGAAAAAGCAAAUGUAAUUCGUCAGGUAUUUGGUGGAAGUGAUGAUGAUGAAGAUGACAAUGAUAGUUGGAGCGACUCAUGAGAACAUAUAAUUGAUGCUAUAUCACCAUAUCUUGUGUAAAUGUUUGUCCUUUUCAUCUUGUAUACCUGUUUGUCCUUUUCAUGGAUGUUACUUGGGCUGUAUCAUUAGGUGCAAAUAUGUAAUUUAUCAUUUACUUUUUCGGGUUUAGAUUAUGUUAUGUAUAUAGGUGUUUUAAUGAAUGAUACAUGUUAUAAUUUAAACCAUUAUAAUAAUUUAAC